rnacentral:rRNA from 1 species
GGCUCAUUAAAUCAGUUAUCGUUUAUUUGAUAGUACCUUACUACUUGGAUAACCGUGGUAAUUCUAGAGCUAAUACAUGCUGAAAACCCCAACUUCGGGAGGGGUGUAUUUAUUAGAUAAAAAACCAACGCCCUUCGGGGCUUCUUGGUGAUUCAUGAUAACUUCACGGAUCGCAUGGCCUUGCGCCGGCGACGGUUCAUUCAAAUUUCUGCCCUAUCAACUUUCGAUGGUAAGGUAUUGGCUUACCAUGGUUUCAACGGGUAACGGGGAAUUAGGGUUCGAUUCCGGAGAGGGAGCCUGAGAAACGGCUACCACAUCCAAGGAAGGCAGCAGGCGCGCAAAUUACCCAAUCCCGACACGGGGAGGUAGUGACAAUAAAUACUGAUACAGGGCUCUUUUGGGUCUUGUAAUUGGAAUGAGUACAAUUUAAACCUCUUAACGAGGAACAAUUGGAGGGCAAGUCUGGUGCCAGCAGCCGCGGUAAUUCCAGCUCCAAUAGCGUAUAUUAAAGUUGUUGCAGUUAAAAAGCUCGUAGUUGAAACUUGGGCCUGGCUGGCAGGUCCGCCUCACCGCGUGUACUUGUCCGGCCGGGCCUUUCCUUCUGGAGAACCUCAUGCCCUUCACUGGGUGUGCUGGGGAACCAGGACUUUUACUUUGAAAAAAUUAGAGUGUUCAAAGCAGGCCUUUGCUCGAAUACGUUAGCAUGGAAUAAUAGAAUAGGACGUGCGGUCCUAUUUUGUUGGUUUCUAGGACCGCCGUAAUGAUUAAUAGGGACAGUCGGGGGCAUCAGUAUUCAAUUGUCAGAGGUGAAAUUCUUGGAUUUAUUGAAGACUAACUACUGCGAAAGCAUUUGCCAAGGAUGUUUUCAUUAAUCAGUGAACGAAAGUUAGGGGAUCGAAGACGAUCAGAUACCGUCGUAGUCUUAACCGUAAACUAUGCCGACUAGGGAUCGGGCGAUGUUCUUUUUCUGACUCGCUCGGCACCUUACGAGAAAUCAAA